UAAUACGUAGGGUGCAAGCGUUGUCCGGAAUUAUUGGGCGUAAAGAGCUCGUAGGCGGUCUGUCGCGUCGGCUGUGAAAACUCGGGGCUCAACCCCGAGCUUGCAGUCGAUACGGGCAGGCUAGAGUUCGGCAGGGGAGACUGGAAUUCCUGGUGUAGCGGUGAAAUGCGCAGAUAUCAGGAGGAACACCGGUGGCGAAGGCGGGUCUCUGGGCCGAUACUGACGCUGAGGAGCGAAAGCGUGGGGAGCGAACAGGAUUAGAUACCCUGGUAGUCCACGCCGUAAACGUUGGGCGCUAGGUGUGGGAUCCCUUCCACGGGUUCCGUGCCGCAGCUAACGCAUUAAGCGCCCCGCCUGGGGAGUACGGCCGCAAGGCUA
rnacentral:rRNA from 1 species